rnacentral:rRNA from 1 species
AUUGAACGCUGGCGGCAGGCCUAACACAUGCAAGUCGAACGGUAACAGGAAGAAGCUUGCUUCUUUGCUGACGAGUGGCGGACGGGUGACUAAUGUCUGGGAAACUGCCUGAUGGAGGGGGAUAACUACUGGAAACGGUAGCUAAUACCGCAUAACGUCGCAAGACCAAAGAGGGGGACCUUCGGGCCUCUUGCCAUCGGAUGUGCCCAGAUGGGAUUAGCUUGUUGGUGGGGUAACGGCUCACCAAGGCGACGAUCCCUAGCUGGUCUGAGAGGAUGACCAGCCACACUGGAACUGAGACACGGUCCAGACUCCUACGGGAGGCAGCAGUGGGGAAUAUUGCACAAUGGGCGCAAGCCUGAUGCAGCCAUGCCGCGUGUAUGAAGAAGGCCUUCGGGUUGUAAAGUACUUUCAGCGGGGAGGAAGGGAGUAAAGUUAAUACCUUUGCUCAUUGACGUUACCCGCAGAAGAAGCACCGGCUAACUCCGUG